UACGUAGGGUGCGAGCGUUAAUCGGAAUUACUGGGCGUAAAGCGUGCGCAGGCGGUUAUUUAAGACAGAUGUGAAAUCCCAGGGCUCAACCUGGGAACUGCAUUUGAUACUGGCAGACUAGAGUAUGGUAGAGGGGGGUAGAAUUCCUGGUGUAGCGGUGAAACGCGUAGAUAUCAGGAGGAAUACCAGUGGCGAAGGCGACCCCCUGGGCCAAUACUGACGCUGAGGUACGAAAGCGUGGGUAGCGAACAGG
rnacentral:rRNA from 1 species